UCUUGGUCAUUUAGAGGAAGUAAAAGUCGUAACAAGGUUUCCGUAGGUGAACNUGCGGAAGGAUCAUUAUCGUACAAAAUGUGAGGGGCAUGCUCGGGCUGUCGCUGGCCCAAAAAGUCGUGCACGCCCGAGUGUGUCCUCUCGCAUAAUAAUCCAUCUCACCCUUGUGCAUCACCGCGUGGGCACCCUUCGGGAUCAUCUCGGAGGGGGGCUCGCGUUUUCACACAAACCCCCCUUUUAAAAGUGUAGAAUGACCACAUUUAUGCAAUCAAUACAACUUUCAACAACGGAUCUCUUGGCUCUCGCAUCGAUGAAGAACGCAGCGAAAUGCGAUACGUAAUGUGAAUUGCAGAAUUCAGUGAAUCAUCGAAUCUUUGAACGCACCUUGCGCCCCUUGGUAUUCCGAGGGGCACACCCGUUUGAGUGUCGUGAAAACCUCAACCUCUUUGGUUUCUUCUGGGGACCAAAGCAGGCUUGGACUUUGGAGGCCUUUUGCUGGCACCUCUCUCUUUUGAAGGGCCAGCUCCUCUUAAAUGAAUUAGCAGGGUCCUCUUUGCCGAUCCUCGACGUGUGAUAAGAUGUUUCCAUGUCUUGGUUUCUGGCUCUGUCACCUUUGGGACCCGCUUCUAACCGUCUUGACCUUGCGUCGAGACAAUGUUCGAGCAUGUCUCCCCAUUCUCGGGAAGCUCCCUCGACCCCACGAACCCCUUGACCUCAAAUCGGGUGAGACUACCCGCUGAACUUAAGCAUAUCAAUAAGCGGAGGAAAUCG
rnacentral:rRNA from 1 species